rnacentral:other from 1 species
AACUGCCUGGGACUUUUGUCAGGAUUCAUAAUUGAACCUACACUAAUUGAAAGGGAAUCCGAGUUCAAAAAAAUAUGUCAUGCCGUUGCGAGCGGAAGACAGAAAACUUUUGACAGGUAUCCCACCUAUCGAAUGAUAGGGCGUCAAUUAUACCCUGACGGAGCCGCCGGGUAGUUU